AUUUGGCACUGAUUUUUGGUCAUUUCUGAGGUCCAAUGAAGAGGAUUCUUCAUCCAGCAUCAAGGCCUGUGUUCUGAAGGAAAUGGAAGGGGCCACACUCUGGGAGCAAAUGGUUUAUGUGCAAGAUUUCAGAAGUGAGAUUUGAUGCCUCAAAC